rnacentral:rRNA from 1 species
CACGUAGGGUGCGAGCGUUGUCCGGAAUUAUUGGGCGUAAAGAGCUCGUAGGCGGUCUGUCGCGUCGGAUGUGAAAUCCAGGGCUCAACCCUGGACCUGCAUUCGAUACGGGCAGGCUAGAGUUCGGCAGGGGAGACUGGAAUUCCUGGUGUAGCGGUGAAAUGCGCAGAUAUCAGGAGGAACACCGGUGGCGAAGGCGGGUCUCUGGGCCGAUACUGACGCUGAGGAGCGAAAGCGUGGGGAGCAAACAGG